AUCGAUGAAGAACGCAGCGAAAUGCGAUAAGUAAUGUGAAUUGCAGAAUUCAGUGAAUCAUCGAAUCUUUGAACGCACAUUGCGCCCUCUGGUAUUCCGGAGGGCAUGCCUGUUUGAGUGUCAUUAAUCUCUCCCCAGAUCGUCCAUUUGUUUGGGCGAUCUGUCGGUCUUGGGACAUGCGAACCUCCCGCAAGGGUAGGACGCUCUCCUCAAAUGUAUUGGUGCGGCCCGCCGCCCGGUUACACAACGUUCUAGGUUCGCCCAACUCGUUGCCCUGCCGGUUGCAAUCUUGGUUGCUGCACCUAAAGCCCCGCCUCGUGCCUCGUGCUCUUGGUAGAAACUUCAUUUAUUGACCUCAGAUCAGGUAGGAAUACGCGCUGAACUUAAGCAUAUCAAUAAGCGCAGGAAAAGAAACUAACUAGGAUGCCUUCAGUAACGGCGAGCGAAGCAGGCAUAGCUCAAAUUUGUAAUCUGGCGCCUUUGGCGUCCGAGUUGUAUUUUCUAGAAGCGAGUUCGGCGACAGCUCCUGCCCAAGUCCGUUGGAACGCGGCGUCAUGGAGGGUGAGAAUCCCGUGAAUGGCAGGAUGUCUGCUGCUAUGUGAACCGCCUUCGAAGAGUCGAGUUGUUUGGGAAUGCAGCUCUAAAUGGGAGGUAAAUUUCUUCUAAAGCUAAAUAUUGGCCAGAGACCGAUAGCGAACAAGUAGAGUGAUCGAAAGAUGAAAAGAACUUUGAAAAGAGAGUUAAACAGUACGUGAAAUUGUUGAAAGGGAAGCGCUUGAGAUCAGACUUCCUGUCUGGACUGUCCUUGCUUUUGCUUGGAUUCCCAGUCCAGGCGUGGAGGCCAGCAUCAGUUUUGACGGCCGGAUAAAGACACUCGGAAGGUAGCUCCCCUCGGGGAGUGUUAUAGCCCUGUGUAAAUACGGCCAGUUGGGACUGAGGACCGCGGCUUUGCCUAGGAUGCUGGCGUAAUGGUCUUAAGCGACCCGUCUUGAAACACGG
rnacentral:rRNA from 1 species